GUCCUCUCAGGGUUAGUCGGGACCUAAGCCGAGGCCGAAAGGCGUAGGCGAUGGACAACAGGUUGAUAUUCCUGUACCACCUCUUCAUCAUUUGAGCAAUGGGGGGACGCAGGAGGAUAGGGUAAGCGCGCUGCUGGAAUAGCGCGUCCAAGCAGUUAGGCUGGGAAAUAGGCAAAUCCGUUUCCCUCAAAGGCUGAGCUGUGACGGCGAGGGAAAUAUAGUACCGAAGUUCCUGAUUCCACACUGCCAAGAAAAGCCUCUAGCGAGAUGAAAGGUGCCCGUACCGCAAACCGACACAGGUAGGCGAGGAGAGAAUCCUAAGGUGAGCGAGAGAACUCUCGUUAAGGAACUCGGCAAAAUGACCCCGUAACUUCGGGAGAAGGGGUGCUUUUUAGGGUGUUAAAGCCCGGAAAAGCCGCAGUGAAUAGGCCCAGGCGACUGUUUAG
rnacentral:ncRNA from 2 species